rnacentral:rRNA from 1 species
UAGUAUUCAAUUGUCAGAGGUGAAAUUCUUGGAUUUAUUGAAGACUAACUUCUGAGAAAGCAUUUGCCAAGGAUGUUUUCAUUAAUCAAGAACGAAAGUUAGGGGAUCGAAGACGAUCAGAUACCGUCGUAGUCUUAACCAUAAACUAUGCCGACUAGGGAUCGGACGAUGUUAACUUUUCUUGACUCG